CAGUCGCCGCGGGAAAACGAAGGGGGCUAGCGUUGCUCGGAAUCACUGGGCGUAAAGGGUGCGUAGGCGGGUCUUUAAGUCAGGGGUGAAAUCCUGGAGCUCAACCCCAGAACUGCCUUUGAUACUGAAGAUCUUGAGUUCGGGAGAGGUGAGUGGAACUGCGAGUGUAGAGGUGAAAUUCGUAGAUAUUCGCAAGAACACCAGUGGCGAAGGCGACCCUCUGGUCUGUAACUGACGCUGAGGAGCGAAAGCGUGGGGAGCGAACAGGAUUAGAUACCCCCGUAGUCCCUGUCUCUUAUAA
rnacentral:rRNA from 1 species